rnacentral:rRNA from 1 species
AACGAACGCUGGCGGCGCGCCUAGUACAUGCAAGUCGAGCGAGAAGACGUAGCAAUACGUUUGUAAAGCGGCGAACGGGUGAGGAAUACAUGGGUAACCUACCCUCGAGUGGGGAAUAACUAGCCGAAAGGUUAGCUAAUACCGCGUACGCUCCUUGGACUUCGGUUCAGGGAGGAAAGCGAUACCGUGGGUAUCGCGCUCUUGGAUGGGCUCAUGUCCUAUCAGCUUGUUGGUGAGGAACGGCUCACCAAGGCUUCGACGGGUAGCUGGUCUGAGAGGACGAUCAGCCACACUGGCACUGCGACACGGGCCAGACUCCUACGGGGAGGCAGCAGUAAGGAAUAUUGCGCAAUGGGCGAAAGCCUGACGCAGCGACGCCGCGUGGGGGAUGAAGGUCUUCGGAUUGUAAACCCC